GUGUGCGUGUGUGUGUGUGUGUGUGUGUGUGUGUGUGUGUGUGUGUGUGUGUGUGUGUGUGUGUGUGUGUGUGUGUGUGUGUGUGUGUGUGUGUGUGUGUGUGUGUGUGUGUGUGUGUGGAGCUAGACCGAAACGUUCCGUGGCAUAGAGUCUGACACCAGGUUAACUUUGUCGUUCCAUCGAAGGCAGUGCCAAACAUAAAGCUAUGGUGCUCAUGUUGUCAUAACGUGUUGAUUCAGAACGGGCCGUUGAUUGGCCCCCUCUCCCUUCGGCCCCGCCCCACGCCGCGUGUUACGCCUGUUUCUUUCUCCUUCCUGUUCAGAAGAGGAUCAUUACAGUACUCGUCAGGCGCGGCUAGUGUGUUUUAGUGUGAAACAUUCCAGCAGUGUCUUAUAACAAAGAAUCAUUCACGGUCCAGUGACUCCAGUUACUAAAAACCAUCCACUUUUAGUUUGUUCACGUCGGAUCACAAGUCCUAUCGUAUAAAUCGACGUGAUGUUUCUCAUCCCUCAUACCAGGAAUGUUUGAUCGCUAGGCGACGGGACAACUCUGUGGUUACUUCAUAUUGAGAUUCCAGUUGGUCACAGAGAGAGUGGCAGUAUUUUAGUUAAGUUAAACAUUUUGUAAUACUCAACGAUGGGAUUUUUGUGUAACUUGGUCUUCUCAGUUUGUUGGGUCUCUGACAGCUUCGGUGAGGGAUUUAAUAUCUUGGUGUGCAAAGGAAUCUUGGGUGUUUUAAAGACUGAAUGAUUUUCAGAUUACUGCAAUUGCUGUUAAUUUUUAAAUGUAAGCCUUCAGUGUUUUUGCUAUUAAAAAUUCCUGUUAUGGCAUCAAAUUAAA